GGGCAAGUGGUGGAAUGGUUUACACGAUAGACUUAAAAUCUAUUGGCCGCAAGGUCAUGAGGGUCCGACUCCCUCCUUGCCCA
rnacentral:tRNA from 2 species